rnacentral:rRNA from 1 species
CAAUAGCGUAUAUUAAAGUUGUUGCGGUUAAAAAGCUCGUAGUUGGAGUUCUGCCAGGUGCCGCCUGUCCGCCCCAGUGGUGAGUACGUGGCGCGCAUUUGGCCCUUUCAAGGGGAGCGUAUCUGCACUUUAUUGUGUGGUGCGGGAUCCUUGACUUUUACUUUGAGGAAAUAGGAGUGUUCCAAGCAGGCUCUCGUCGUGCACAGCUCAGCAUGGAAUAAUAGCAUUGGACCUCGAUUCUAAGCUGUUGGUUGCCAGAAGCGAGGUAAUGAUGAAGAGGGAUAGUUGGGGGCAUUCGUAUUUAACUGUCAGUGGUGAAAUUCUUGGAUUUGUUAAAGACGGACUACUGCGAAAGCAUCUGCCAUGGAUGUUUUCAUUGA